rnacentral:rRNA from 1 species
AUUGAACGCUGGCGGCAGGCCUAACACAUGCAAGUCGAGCGGAUGAGAGGAGCUUGCUCCUCGAUUCAGCGGCGGACGGGUGAGUAAUGCCUAGGAAUCUGCCUAGUAGUGGGGGACAACGUUUCGAAAGGAACGCUAAUACCGCAUACGUCCUACGGGAGAAAGUGGGGGAUCUUCGGACCUCACGCUAUUAGAUGAGCCUAGGUCGGAUUAGCUAGUUGGUAGGGUAAAGGCCUACCAAGGCGACGAUCCGUAACUGGUCUGAGAGGAUGAUCAGUCACACGGGAACUGAGACACGGUCCAGACUCCUACGGGAGGCAGCAGUGGGGAAUAUUGGACAAUGGGCGAAAGCCUGAUCCAGCCAUGCCGCGUGUGUGAGGAAGGCCUUCGGGUCGUAAAGCACUUUAAGUUGGGAGGAAGGGCUCAUAGCGAAUACCUGUGAGUUUUGACGUUACCAACAGAAUAAGCACCGGCUAACUUCGUGCCAGCCGCCGCAGUAAUAC